rnacentral:lncRNA from 1 species
AACUUUUCUGCUGGUUAAGAUGAUGUAAGAAAACUAAUUUAAAGAGCAAUCAACCUGUAGUUAACAAUGCUGUAUUAUACACUGGAAAAAAUGGUAAAAGAGUAGAUCUCAUGUUAAACAUCCUUGCUCCAAUAAAAACCAAAAAACAAGAUGAAUUGACUUUCUUGCCAAUAUAAAGAGAUAUUCAAAUGCACAUGUGCAUAUUAUCAUAGUCCAACUUCUCUGUCAAGUACCAAAUAGACACAACAUUUAUUCCAGUUGUUUAUACUGUAUAUUAUUUUUAUUUCCAGAAUGACCUUGUGUGACCGCCUUAUUCAUGGAUUAAAUACAUUCCAGUAGUGUACACAUAACUAAUCUAUGGAAGGCAUGUAAAAUGAGAUUAGUUCAUGCAAAGUGGAGCGCAUUUCAUUUCAGUUCCCCUUCCAAGCUGAUUGGUUUAGCAGAAAUUUUCAUUUGUCCAAACUAUUCCAGUGAUCUAUUCUGCUGACUUCUCUCUCUGUUGCCUUUAGAAGUAGUCACGUUUCCAUUCAAACUAUUCCAACUCUUGUAGUAACCGCACUUCACAAAGCUUUAUGUAACAUCAAGUUCUUGUCCUGAAAAUAAAAGUCUGGUUACAUUCCUUGUGAAUGCCUUCCUUCAUCUGGGUGGAAUUGAAACUUUUCUGUUUUAUCAGUUCAGAUAACCACCAGGUCACACAGAGGCCACAAAGGAAUCAACAGAAAUGCUUGCUGCUCAACACUUUGCUGGCUUCAGCCACUGCCUUUAGAAAGUCAAUAGAAUGUAUUUUCCUGACAUAAGCUACCUACUUUUUAAAUUUCCCUAUGCCUUUCAUACUCAAGAAGCUGUGAUUCAAAAACUAAAUGAAAUUUCCCUGUUUAUGUUAAAAGUCUACUCCAGAUAUUUUCAGUGACUAUUUUGUCUUUUUAAAGUGUAUGGAUUUCAGAUACAGAUAGAUAGGAUUCUAGUCCAUGACCUCUGGUCUCUCAACUUGCUAUUGCUUUUAAUAAAAAUUAGAGCAGUUGGCUCUGUAGCAGUCAGAUUUGAUUGUAGUUCCUGAUAAAGUAAGCCUUUAUCCAUUUAAAUCCUACUUUAAAGGACAUCAGGACAACCAACCUGAAUUUUUAAAAACUAUUAAUGUUCUGAAUGUUCUUACAAAGUAAGAAAAAGAAACAUGUUCCAAAUUUUUCUGACAUAGUAUUAAAGUUGUACUUCAAUAUAAAGCCUUGAGUGGUAUUUGAAGACAUCUGAUUAAAUGCUUACUGGCUUAGGAGUGCUGAGCAUGAAAUUAAAAGUCAGCAGAAAGUAACAAUGAUGACUACCUACUACUAAAGGAAAUGUAAGUGGCUUUACCCUACAGCCCUGCACCAACCUUUUCCUAGUUGUGCAUUUCCACAGAUAUGGAUUCAGCUUUAUUCCUUCGUUAAGUAAAAUAAGUAAGGAUGAUGGCGGUCAGUUGCCUCUAAAAAGGUAAAGCAUUCCUUCCAAAUCCAUAUGAUACCAUGUCUAUGUCCUAGUUUUACCUAUGCUACCAUAGAAAAGACCUAAAACCGAGUGUGGAAUAUUUUGGUCCUAGAAGCCUAGCAAAAACGACUUGUACAUACUUCAUAACAAAAGUUAUGUACUUAUCUCAUCAAUAGGUUAUAAUAUUGGUGUUGCUUAUCAUCUCAAAGAUCCCAAAGAGUCAUGUUUAUAAGAAAGACAAUAAAUCAUAUGAUAUCUGCCAUUCACAAAAAUAAAAUUAUACUUAAUAUAAUGUUAGCAAGGGCUCUUAAUAGGGAAUUUUUUAAAAUUCAGACUUUGAUAUAUGUUUUGGUACGUGAUUGCUGGAUAAAAACUAUUCCAACACAGUUAUUUAAAGCAAAAACAAAUGGAAUAGGAGAAAGUAUUUGUAAACCUUGUAUCUGAUGAGGGGUUAAUAUCCAAAAUAUGUAAGGUACUCAUGUAACUAGAUAGCAAGAAAACGAAAACAGUAAUACCUGUGAACUAUUAUUCAGCAAUAGAAAACAGUGAGAUGCUAUCACUUGACACAACAUGGAUGAACCUAGAGGACAUUAUAUUAAGUGACACAGAAAGACAUUGUGUGAUGUCGCUUAUAUGUAGAAUCUAAAAAAAAAAAUUGAGUUUGUAGCAGCAGAGAGGAGAAUGGUGGUUACAGGGGUUUCAGGGUGGAAGAAAUGGGAAGAUGUUGGUCAAAGGGUACAGAGUUUCAAAUAUGCAGUACGAAUAAGUUCUGUAGAUCUAAUGUAUAACAUAGUGACUAUAAAUAAUACUGUAUUAAAUAAUUCAACUUUUCUAAGAGAGUAGAUCUUUUUUUAAAAAAAUUGAGGUGUUAUUGAUUUACAUUGCUGUAUUUUAGGUGUAUAACAAAGUAAUUUUUUAUUACAUAUAUAUAUAAAGAGUUUAAUAUUUUUUCAGAUUAUUUUCCAUUAUAGGUCAUGACAGGAUGUUGAAUAUAAUUCCUUAUGCUAUACUGUAAAUCCUUUUUGGUUGUCUAUUUUAUAUAUAGUAGUUUAUAUCUGUUAGUUCCAUACUCCUAAUCCCCCUCUCCCCUCUGGUAACCAUUAAUUUGUUUUCUACAUCUGUGAGUCUGUUUCUGUUUUGUAUAUAGAGUCAUUUGUGUUAUUCAAUUUUAUUUUAUUUUAUUGCUUUUUAGGGUCACACCUGCAGCAUAUGAAAGUUCCCAGGCUAGGGGUCAAAUCACUCCUGUAUUUUCCAGUGUAGGCCACAGCCACAGCAGCAAUGGGGGAUCUGAGCCAUGUCUGUGACCUACACCACAGCUCACAGCAAUGCCAGUGCCUUAAUCCUUGAGUGAGGCCAGGAACUGAAUCCACAUCCUCACAGUUACUCAUCAGGUUCAUUACAGCUGAGCCACAAUGGGAACUCCUCAUGUUAUUUUUUAGAUUCCACAUAUAAGUGAUAGUUUUCAUCUUUUCCAGAUAUAUGCGCGGGACUGGGAUUGCUGGAUCACAUGGUAGUUCAAGUUUUAGUAUUUUAAGGAGCCUCCAUACUAUUGCCCAUUGUGAUUGCACCCAUUUAUAUUCCCACCAAUAGUGUAGGAGGGUUGCUUUUUCUCCACGCCCUCUCCAGCAUUUACUGUUUGUAGGUUUUUUAAUAAUAACCGUUCUGACUUAUGUGAGGUGAUACCUCAUUGUGGUUCUGAUUUACAUUUCUCUAAUUACUGAUGUUGAACAUCUUUUCAUUUGCUUAUGGCCAUCUGUAUGUCUUCUUUGGAUAAAUAUCUAUUUAGGUCUUCUGCCAAUUUUUUGAUUGGGUUGUUUGAUUUUUUGAUAUUGAACUGUAUGAGCUAUUUUCAUAUUUUGGAUAUUAACCCCUUGUCAGCUGCAUCAUUUGCAAAUAAUUUCUCCCAUUCCAUAGGUUGUUUGCUCAUUUUGUUUAUGGUUUCCUGUACUGUGCUAAUAAAGCUUUUCCAUUUGACUAGGUCCCAUUUGCUUAUUUCUCCUUUUAUUUCUUUUGCCUAGAGUAACUGAUCUAAGAAAAUAUUGCUAUAAUUUAUGUCCAGGAAUGUUUUGAUUUUCUUCUCUUCUAGGAGUUUGUAAUAUCAGGACUUGUAUUUAGGACUUUAAACCAACUGGAGUUUACUUUUGGAUAGGAUGUGAAGGAGUAUUCUAAUUUCAUUGAUUUAUGUGUAGCUGUCCAGCUUUCCCAGUGGCACUUGUUGAAGAGACUGUCUUUUCUCUAUCGUAUAUUCUUGCCUCCUGUAUCAUAGAUUAGUUGAUAUAGGUGUUUGGGUUUAUUUCUGGGAUCUCUAUUCUAUUCCACUGAUUUCUAUGUCUAAUUUUGUACCAAUACCACAUUGUUUUGAUUACUGUAUCUAUGUUGUACAGUCUUAGGUCUGUUGUGAGUCUUAGGCAUCAAGCUUUGUUCUUUUUUCUCAGAAUCACGUUGGGUCUUUGUGAUUCCAUAUAAAUUUUAAGGGUUAUUUGUUUUAGUUCUGUGAAAGAUAGAAUGAGUAUUUUGAUAAUGAAUGCAUUAACUCUGUGGAUUGUUUUAGAUAGUAUGACCAUUUUAACAAAAUUAAUUCUUCCUAUCCAAGAGUGUAGGAUAGCUUUCCAUUUCUUUGAAUCCUCUUUAGCAGUGUUUUAUAGUUUUCAGCUUAUAGAUCUUAAGAAUUCUUGGUUAAGUGUAUUUAUUCCUAGGAUUUUUUUGAACAUUGUUUUAUUUUAUUGAAGUAUAGUUGAUUUACAAUGUUAUGUUAAUUUCUGCUGUACGGCAAGAUGAUUCAGUUAUACAUACAUGUGUGUAUGUGUAUAUAUAUAUAUAUGAAAUACUCUUUUUAAAAAUAUUCCUUUCAAUUAUCAUUUAUUAUAGGAUAUUAAAUAUAGUUCUCUGUGUUGAUUAUCCCUUUCAUGUAUAUUCGCUUACAACUGCUAGCCCCAAAUCCCUACCCUGGUUCCCUCCCCCUUGGCAACCACAAGAUUGUUCUCUAUAUCUGUGAGUCUGCUUCUGUUUUUUAGAAAGGGUCUUUUGUGUUAUUUAUUUAUUUUUUUUUAGAUUCCACAUGUAAGUAAUAGAUUUAAGUCUUUAUGACUUAAAUCACUUAGGAUGAUAAUACCUAGGUCCGCCUAUGUUGCUGAAAAUGGCAUUAUUUCUUUCUUUUUGGCUUAGUGGUAUUCCAUUGUGUAUAACUACCACAUCUUUUUUAUCCAUUCAUUUACCAACGUAUGUUUAGGUUGUCUUGGCUAUUGUGAAUAGAGCUGCAAUGAACAUAAGGGUGCAUGUAUCUUUUUGAAUGAAAGGUUUCUCUGGCUAUAUCCCCAGGAGUGGGAUUGCUGGAUCAUAUGGUAACUUUAUCCUUAGUUUUCUGAGGAAUCUCUGUGCUGCUGUCCAUGAUGGUUGCGCCAGUUUACAUUCCCACCAACAGUGUAAAAGUAUUCCCUUUUCUUCACAACCUUAAGAGAAUAGACCUUAAUUUUUCUCACCAAAGGAGCUGGGGAAAACAGAGAACCAUGUGAGAUGAUGUAUAUGUUAGUUAUCUUGACUGUGAUAAUUAUUUCACUAUGUAUACAUAUUAAAACAUCCUUCAAUAUAUACAAUUUUCUCAAUUAUACUUCAGUAGAACUCAGAAAAGUAAAAAUAGUAGUUCCCAUUGUGGCUCCGUGGUUAAGGACCUGACAUUGUCUCUAUGAGCAUGCAGGUUUGAUCCCUGGCCUUGAUCAGUGGAUUAAGGAUCUGGUGUUGCCACAAGCUGCAGUGUAAGUCAUAGAUGAGCCUUGGAUAUGGUGUUGUCAUGGCUGUAGCAUAGGCCACAGCUGCAGCUCUGAUUUGACCCCUGGCCUGGGAACUUCCACAUAUCACAGGCACAGCUGUAAAAAGAAAAAAACAAACAAAUAAAGUUAUUUCCUCAUGAAUCUUUAAUUGGACAACAUUAUGUCUGGUAUAUUUGCCUCUGUCCUCUAUGGUAUGAGUUGGCCCAAAUGAAGCUGAUAGAUGCUGUUCUAAGUGGCUUACUCACAUAGUAAACAAAUCUUUUAUUGCUGUCACAUGGUAGCUCAGCCAGGGCUGUUGCCUAGAAGCCUAGAUUCUUGCUCACAUGAACCUGUCUGCGGUGCUGCUUUGGCUGUCUCAGAGCAUGGAGACUGAGUUCUAAGAAGGAGAAAGCAGUCUUAGACGCACUAGUCUUCCUAAAGAUGCAGCCUCAACUCAGGUGCAACAUCAUUUCUGCUUAUAUUUUAACUGUCAAAGCAGUCCCAAGCCAGCUAAAGCUCAAGUGGGUGAGGACAUAGACUGCAUUUGAUAAGAAAGUGGCUUGCAUGUGUAGGAAAGGAAUAAAUUGAUACUAGCCAUCUUUGCAUACAAGCCCCCACAUUGUAAUUAAGAGGACAACAGAUUCGAAAGUAGGAAUGAGUGACAUUAGACAUUUUAUUUCUAGUCAGCAUAGUCCACUGUAUUCAUUUCAGGAGAUUUUAUUUUAUUUUAUUUU